CCCGGUGUCGCAUUGUGUUGCAGUUCGACACAAACAGAAGGUGAGACCCCGUUUUAACACCGCAAUGUCACGCCGCCGGAAAAUGCCCACGACUCUCGGACCUCGAGCGGCGGCGGCUUCAGUCACCGACGCAGGCGGGGAAGGCAGCGCCGCAUCCCCGGCAGCCGCUGCACUUCAGCGGCGGAGACCUGUUAAGCCAUCAAUUCUACCGCGGUAGCGACACGGACAGCAGUUGUUGCAUGUGUGAAGAGACGGGAGCCCACACAUCAUACAUGAGACGAACAGGAUCACAGCUGCUGUGCUCCAGGGCUCAUCGUGUGGUUCUCCUCACCAUCACAGUCACUUCAGCGUGGUUUCCGUGGACCAUUCCCUCAAAAUGGCGCCACUUCCCAGCAUCAAAGAGCUGCUCUUGAACUUUGCAGGGACUGACAGGGACAAAAAGCGGAAUCUAAAGUUGUACAUGGGAGCUCCAGCCGUGAGCUUCAGCUGAAGAAGCAGCUGCUGCUUCAUCUCUCCUCUUAGACCAAGAUUGAUGGAAAUCAAAGUUCACAGAUAACUCAAAGGAAAUUAAAUGAAAAAAUAAUAAAAAUGACAAAAAACAUUUUCAGAAAAUUAAUCACGGAAAUUUACAAGAAAAAAGUCAUACAUUUAGCCUACGACUCUUAAAGUAAAAAAAAAAAUGACU